CUCAGCUUUAAACUGUUGCUUCCAAUUUAUUCUGCAGGCUUUCUGGACAUGUGUGCCACUGACAACUAAAGCGUGUUCACCAAGGUCAUAAAAGGCACUGGAGCUUCCUCCUCGUUGCUCUCUUCAAUGGCUCUCUGUGGGGGUAGCUAGCCCUGAAGCAGCCCUUGUGGGAAGGAACUGAGGCUUCCUGCCAGCAGCCCUACCAGUGAACCAUAUUAGAAGUGGAUCCUCCAGCCCCAGUCAAGCCUUCAGAUGACAUCAGCAGACUUCAGAUGACUCAUCCGACAUCCUGACUGUCACAUCAUGAGAGAACCUGAGCAAGAACAAUUCAGCUAAGUUGCUCCCAGAUUCUUGACCCCACAAACCAUGCGAGAUAAUAAAUAUUAAUUAUUUUAA